UUUCCUACGGGAGGCAGCAGUGGGGAAUAUUGCACAAUGGGGGAAACCCUGAUGCAGCAACGCCGCGCGAGUGAAGAAGUCAUUCGUGAUGUAAAGCUCUAUCAGCAGGGAAGAAAAUGACGGUACCUGACUAAGAAGCCCCGGCUAACUACGUGCCAGCAGCCGCGGUAAUACGUAGGGGGCAAGCGUUAUCCGGAUUUACUGGGUGUAAAGGGAGCGUAGACGGCAGUGCAAGUCUGAAGUGAAAGGCAAGGGCUCAACCCUUGGACUGCUUUGGAAACUGUGCUGAUCGAGUGUGGGAGAGG
rnacentral:rRNA from 1 species